UGACAUACUAUCAUACUAUUCAAAUUGCACGUUGGAUUUUUAUUGUAUUUGUUUAUGCUGAACACAACACAAUUUUAUAGGAUUCAGCAAUUUCUAAAAGCAAUUAACAGGCAGCAUGGACAGUAAGUACCGUCGCGUUGGCCGCCUCAUCGACAUAGUGGAUGAGGAGUGGCGCAUGGAGCAGCUCCCCCACAUGGACAUCCGCGUGCCCGUGGAGGAGCUGCCCGAUCCUGAGGCGGACAGCGUCGACUCUCACCUCACCUUGAAGGAGCAGGCCAUGCGCUGGCAAGAAAACUUCCCAGAGUCCGCCAGCAGUAAGCAAAACUAGGAACAAAUUAAUAUUAGGGAGCAACUACCUAAAUACCUUAACGGACAAGCAAAAUUAUUGACAACAAGAUGUAUUAUAAUAGAAACAGAAAAAAUAUCCAAAAAAACACAUGGUGCCCUUACUAUAUUAAAGCAAUUUGGUAUCCAUGAGUGUGGCCAUAAAGAGCCAGUGAUGGGGUCUCAAUGCAUUUUGUCUAUGGUUGGUAAAAAAAAUGAAAAGCAUUAUAUACUGGCAUCACAAGACAGAGAUUUACAAGAUAAAAUGAGAGCUAAAGCUGGAGUUCCAUUGUUAUAUUUACAUAAUAAAUCGCCAACAUUAGAAAAACCUAGUAAAGCUAGCUACAAUAAAGUUGGCCAGACUCUAGAGUCUAAUUUUACUUUUAUCACUCCAACACAAAAUGAAUCUUUGAAGAUUAUGAAAAAAGUACUAGGAGUAGAAGAAAAAGAUGAUACAAAAAAAGUUGUUAUAAAAAAGAAAAAGCCACACAACCCUAAUCCUUUAUCAUGUAAAAAGAA